rnacentral:rRNA from 1 species
UGGCGGCGUNNCUAACGCAUGNAAGUCGAACGGGGGACUGAGGAGCAAUCUGAGGUUCCUAGUGGCAAACGGGUGAGUAACACGUAGGUAAUCUACCUUGGAGUGGGGAACAACGGACCGAAAGGUUCGCUAAUACCGCAUGUGGUCGUGAGACCAAAGCCUUCGGGCGCUCUGAGAGGAGCCUGCGGUCGAUCAGGUAGUUGGUGGGGUAACGGCCUACCAAGCCGGGGACCGGUAGCUGAUCUGAGAGGAUGACCAGCCACACUGGCACUGAGACACGGGCCAGACUCCUACGGGAGGCAGCAGCGAGGAAUAUUGCACAAUGGAGGCAACUCUGAUGCAGUAGCGCCGCGUGAGGGAAGAAGAUUUUCGGAUUGUAAACCUC